rnacentral:lncRNA from 1 species
GGUGGGGUUCAUGUUUCUUAUUCUUUAGUUUUAUAUGUUGUGUCAUGUGUACUUUUGUUUAUCUGCUUUAAAUUUUCAUUUUUAGCCAUGGCGCUGCCUUUUUAUUUUUGAAUUUAUGAGUUUGACUGUCCCUCUCGUGUCUUAUGGUCUCUUUGUUUUUGAUAUUUUUUUAUUUUUUUGCAUUGGUGUUGUAUAUAUGUAAGAUUUUCUUUGCUUUAGAGUUUCCCGCUG